rnacentral:rRNA from 1 species
ACGAACGCUGGCGGCGUGCCUAAUACAUGCAAGUAGAACGCUGAAGGAGGAGCUUGCUUCUCUGGAUGAGUUGCGAACGGGUGAGUAACGCGUAGGUAACCUGCCUGGUAGCGGGGGUAAAUAAUGGAAAAGAUAGGUAAUUACGGCAAAAAAUAGAUUAUCCAAGAAUUCUUCCUUAAAGGUUGCAAUUGCUUCACUACCGAAUGAACUUGCGUUGUAUUAGCUAGUUGGUGGGGUAACGGCUCCCAAAGGCGACGAUCCAUAGCCGACCUGAGAGGGUGAUCGGCCACACUGGGACUGAGACACGGCCCAGACUCCUACGGGAGGCAGCAGUAGGGAAUCUUCGGCAAUGGACGGAAGUCUGACCGAGCAACGCCGCGUGAGUGAAGAAGGUUUUCGGAUCGUAAAGCUCUGUUGUAAGAGAAGAACGAGUGUGAGAGUGGAAAGUUCACACUGUGACGGUAUCUUACCAGAAAGGGACGGCUAACUACGUG